rnacentral:rRNA from 1 species
GUACCAGCGAGAAGGAUCAUUA